rnacentral:rRNA from 1 species
GAACUGNUCAGUAACACGUGGAUAACUUACCNUUAGGACCGGAAUAACCCCGGGAAACUGGGGAUAAUACCGGAUAAGCCAUAGACGCUGGAAUGCCCUAUGGUUCAAAGNUCCGGCGCNUAAGGAUGGAUCUGCGGUCUAUCAGGUUGUAGUGGGUGUAACGUACCUACUAGCCGACGACGGAUACGGGUUGUGAGAGCAAGAGCCCGGAGAUGGAUUCUGAGACACGAAUCCAGGCCCUACGGGGUGCAGCAGGCGCGAACACUUUACAAUGCGGGAAACCGCGAUAAGGGAACCCCGAGUGCCAGCAUCAAAUGUUGGCUGUCCAGAUGAUUAAAAAUCAUUUGUUAGCAAGGGCCGGGCAAGACCGGUGCCAGCCGCCGCGGUAACACCGGCGGCCCGAGUGGUAGCCGUUUUUAUUGGGUCUAAAGGGUCCGUAGCCGGCCUGAUAAGUCCUUUGGGAAAUCUGGCAGCUUAACUGUCAGGCUUCUAAGGGAUACUGUCAGGCUUGGGACCGGAAGAGGUAAGGGGUACUCCAGGGGUAGGAGUGAAAUCUUGUAAUCCCUGGGGGACCAUCUGUGGCGAAGGCGCCUUACCAGAACGGGUCCGACGGUGAGGGACGAAAGCUAGGGGAGCAAACCGGAUUAGAUACCCGGGUAGUCCUAGCUGUAAACGAUGCUCGCUAGGUGUCAGACACGGUGCGACCGUGUUUGGUGCCGCAGGGAAGCCGUUAAGCGAGCCACCUGGGAAGUACGGUCGCAAGGCUGAAACUUAA